rnacentral:tRNA from 1 species
GCGCAGGUGUUGUAACGGUAGCCAAGCAGGCUUGAGGUGCCUGUGCCCUCACGGGCGUGGAGGUUCGAGUCCUCUCCUGCGCA